CUAGCGGCGGACGGGUUAGUAACGCGUGGGAAUAUACCCUUCACUACGGAAUAGCCUCGGGAAACUGGGAGUAAUACCGUAUACGCCCUUUGGGGGAAAGAUUUAUCGGUGAAGGAUUAGCCCGCGUCUGAUUAGAUAGUUGGUGGGGUAAUGGCCUACCAAGUCUACGAUCAGUAGCUGGUUUGAGAGGAUGAUCAGCAACACUGGGACUGAGACACGGCCCAGACUCC
rnacentral:rRNA from 1 species